CCUACGGGAGGCAGCAGUAGGGAAUCUUCCACAAUGGGCGAAAGCCUGAUGGAGCAACGCCGCGUGGGUGAAGAAGGUCUUCGGAUCGUAAAACCCUGUUGUUAGAGAAGAACGCGCGUGAUAGUAACUGUUCACGUUUCGACGGUAUCUAACCAGAAAGCCACGGCUAACUACGUGCCAGCAGCCGCGGUAAUACGAAGGUGGCAAGCGUUAUCCGGAUUUAGUGGGUGUAAAGGGAGCGCAGGCGGUUAUGUAAGUCUGGAGUGAAAGCCCGGGGCGCAACCCCGGAAGUGCAUUGGAAACUGUGUAACUGGAGUAAAGGAGGGGCGGGCGGAAGUCCAGGUGUAGCGGUGAAAUGCGUAGAUAUCAGGAGGAACACCGGCGGCGAAGGCGGCCUGCUGGACUGGAACUGACGUUGAGGCUCGAAAGCGUGGGGAGCAAACAGGAUUAGAUACCCUAGUAGUC
rnacentral:rRNA from 1 species